UAUCUAUGAUGAUCUUAUCCCGAACCUGAAUUUUCUGUUGAAAAAAAACGCUAUACGGAUCUGGCUUCUGAGAU
ensembl:snoRNA